ACGGAGCUUGUUGGCUGCUUGCUUAUCUCUGUUUUGCUGAGUUUGGGAACAUGGUAAUGCAAAUAAUGGCUAUGUGCUUUGUCCUGGCACUGAUGGUUUUACUGUGCUGUGGGAGCUAUGUUCUGGGGAGCAUGAAGGAACUCGGGAACA